AGCGAACGCUGGCGGCAGGCUUAACACAUGCAAGUCGAGCGGGCGUAGCAAUACGUCAGCGGCAGACGGGUGAGUAACGCGUGGGAACGUACCUUUUGGUUCGGAACAACACAGGGAAACUUGUGCUAAUACCGGAUAAGCCCUUACGGGGAAAGAUUUAUCGCCGAAAAGAUCGGCCCGCGUCUGAUUAGCUAGUUGGUGAGGUAACGGCUCACCAAGGCGACGAUCAGUAGCUGGUCUGAGAGGAUGAUCAGCCACAUUGGGACUGAGACACGGCCCAAACUCCUACGGGAGGCAGCAGUGGGGAAUAUUGGACAAUGGGGGCAACCUUGAUCCAGCCAUGCCGCGUGAGUGAUGAAGGCCCUAGGGUUGUAAAGCUCUUUUGUGCGGGAAGAUAAUGACGGUACCGCAAGAAUAAGCCCGGCUAACUUCGUAG
rnacentral:rRNA from 1 species